AUGAACGCUGGCGGCGUGCCUCAUCCCUGCAAGUCGCGCGAACAGACGAGGAGCUUGCUCCUCUGACGUUAGCGGCGGACGGGUGAGUAACACGCGGAUAACCUACCUAUAAGACUGGGAUAACUUCGGGAAACCGGAGCUAAUACCGGAUAAUAUAUUGAACCGCAUGGUUCAAUAGUGAAAGACGGUUUUGCUGUCACUUAUAGAUGGAUCCGCGCCGCAUUAGCUAGUUGGUAAGGUAACGGCUUACCAAGGCAACGAUGCGUAGCCGACCUGAGAGGGUGAUCGGCCACACUGGAACUGAGACACGGUCCAGACUCCUACGGGAGGCAGCAGUAGGGAAUCUUCCGCAAUGGGCGAAAGCUUGACGGAGCAACGCCGCGUGAGUGAUGAAGGUCUUCGGAUCGUAAAACUCUGUUAUUAGGGAAGAACAAAUGUGUAAGUAACUAUGCACGUCUUGACGGUACCUAAUCAGAAAGCCACGGCUAACUACGUG
rnacentral:rRNA from 1 species